CCUACGGGAGGCAGCAGUGAGGAAUAUUGGGCAAUGGACGAAAGUCUGACCCAGCAACGCCGCGUGGAGGAUGAAUGCCGUAAGGUUGUAAACUCCUUUUGAGAGGGACGAAAACCCAUAUUUCGUAAGGGCUAUGGUUUGACUGUACCUCUAGAAGAAGCCCCGGCUAACUACGUGCCAGCAGCCGCAGUAAUACGUAGGGGGCAAGCGUUGUCCGGAUUUACUGGGUGUAAAGGGCGCGUAGGCGGAUUUGUAAGUCAGAGGUGAAAGCCCGCAGCUUAACUGCGGAACUGCCUUUGAUACUGCUUAUCUCGAGUUCGGAAGAGAGAAGCGGAAUUCCAGGUGUAGUAGUGAAAUACGUAGAUAUCUGGAAGAACACCAGUGGCGAAGGCGGCUCUCUGGUUUAGCCCUGACGCUGAUCUGUGAAAGCUAGGGGAGCAAACAGGAUUAGAUACCCUGGUAGUCC
rnacentral:rRNA from 1 species